UCCUGGAGAUCUAGUGGUUAGGACUCAGUGUUUUCACCACUGUGGCCUGGGUUCAAUUCCUGGUCUGGGAA
rnacentral:tRNA from 1 species